rnacentral:lncRNA from 1 species
UAAUGAUUCUCCGAAAUAAUUUCCUAGAUAUAGAACAUCGGUCUGAUCGUGCAACUAAGGUAAGCCUAAGCUUUACACCGUGUUACGUAACAAGGAUAUUAUAAUUGUGAUUUUAUUUUAAAACCGUAUUUUUGCUCGUAUCCAUGCAUUGGUCGCGCUGGUAGGGCUUCACCGUCUCGCAUACGCUUUCUUUAGUAAACAUACACCAAUCAGUCUAACAAUCGGGGGUUGGAAUGCGAAGAAGGUCCGUGUCCCCUGGUUCACACUUUGUAUUCGACUACGGAUGCGAAAGGACUGGGAGGGAUCAACGUGUUAUAAGACGGAGUAUAAGAUUCGGGAUGUUAUAGCCGAUUAACUUCUUUUCACGGACUAUACAGUGAUUUGUCUACACACUUUGCCCUGUGCAAACAGAUCGAAUUGUCCAUCUCGCUAUGAAGUCGGUUACCAAGGAGACUGUAGUUAAUAUUCAAGUUCCUGACGAAAUGGCCGCCAGGUUCAGACCUGCCUUCUUAACUCGUACCUUCAUCAUUCUCAUAUUCAUUUUUUCUGUCGGUUCGUUGUUCUACACCACUACGCAGCUGCAAACUCCACAUCCCCAGACAGCAAGGAGCAUUACCAGAACGGGUUCAUUGCAACUAAAACACUCUUCUAUUGAUGGAAGCCAGUUGGACAUCUCAAAUAAAGCACAACAUCUCCACGAUUUAAUUAAUCAGCUACCUCAUAUUAAUCCAAAUAACAACUCAUUUCCUACCGGAGGAGAUCUACGAAAAAUCUCGGGGAAAAAUGUAACGUUUGUUUUGCCAAGAAGUCUCCUUAAUCUGAACAAAACGAAACUGUAUCUUUAUCACCAAGGUGACGAAAAAUCAAGAACUCUUGAGGAAGAACAUCUCAUUUUGGUGGAACCUCGACGGGUGAAGCUCUCACGAGAGAGAGCAAUGAAGAGGACGGAGAUGAGAGCAUUGAAGACUCGCACAUGGGAGCAAACCCAAGCGGCCCGUCGGCAGCUUGUGAACGAUGUGUGCGAAAAGCGACCCGAACUCCGUAACGGAACCUUAGCCCACAUCAUCAGCGCAAACCGAACGAAACUGUCGCAUUUCCUCGUGAGCGAUCGCUUCAAGAUCAUCAUCAUGGCUGUCCCGAUGGCAGCUUCCGGCUUCUGGAAGGAAGCUAUCAAUCAGUUGUCUUUCCCUGGGUCGCGAAGUGGUGCUUCGGCUGAAGGUGACGCUUUGAGACUUCUAAGCACCUACGACAAGACUGAAAUCCGUCACCGUCUCCGAGAGUACAAGAAGCUUCUGUUUGUGCGGGAUCCAUUUGCGCGUUUCGUCUCUGCGUACCGCCGAAAGUUUCUGUCACCAUCUGAUUAUUCUAAGCAAUAUGAAACCAUCAUUGCAGAGACUUACCGACAAUGGAACACGGGAGUCAACUCCAACAAAACCUCCAAUAUCAGUUUCCAAGAAUUCGCGUAUUUUGUGGAAGAUUCAUGGGACGACAUUUUCGAGGGUCUUUGGCAGCCGACGUCCAAGUUGGCAAUGCCUUGUGAAAUCAAAUACGACUUCAUCGGAAAACUGGAAGAAGGUCCGCUAGAGUUUAACAACAUGCUUAAAAGCGCGAAAAUACAUUCCCUUGUCAAGUAUAAACCGUCUGGUAAGACACACAGUCAUAAAGGAUCCAUUUAUGAUCAUUAUUUCUUACAAUUAUGGACAAAUCAGAUCAAACGGCUCUAUGAAAAAUACGAAGAUGAUUUUUUAAUGUUUGGAUAUUCAAUACCUACUUAUAUGCAUCCAUGGGUAUUUGGCGGGUUCAACGUUCCAGAACAUUAAUUUUGUUAACAUUUUUGGAAAUAUAUACAUGUUUAUUCUCUGAAAUAGUAAUCAUAAUCUACCGUCUUGUAUUACGAUAUAUUUAACAUAUCUUCGAUAUUCAUGAAAUAUACACUGUUAGUCAUAAUGGUGGAAUAAUUAUUUUCCGGGGGAAAAUAUAAUGAAUUAUUGAUAAUUCAUGGCAUUUUCUUUGU